rnacentral:rRNA from 1 species
UACGAAGGGUCCAAGCGUUAAUCGGAAUCACUGGGCUUAAAGGGUGCGUAGGCGGACGUGCAAGUGCUUUGUGAAAUCCCACGGCUCAACCGUGGAACUGCUUGGCAUACUGCACGUCUUGAGGUCGGUAUGGGUUGUCGGAACGCUAGGUGGAGCGGUGAAAUGCGUAGAUAUCUAGCGGAACGCCAAAGGUGAAGACAGGCAACUGGGCCGAUCCUGACGCUGAGGCACGAAAGCGUGGGGAGCAAACGGG